AUGCUUUCAAGGUCUGUGAAGCCAAACUUGAUGCUGGGGAUUUAUUUUUGUCAGUGGAGUCAAAUGGUAAGUUACAAUUUGUGCAUUUUGUCAUACUGGAAACACCACAGAUUAUAUUGUAACUUAAUAGCUCUGUAGAACAAAUGAUAUAAAGAUUGUAGUGUCAGGGUACUUCUUAAGAAGUAAUAUGGCACUAUUGAUGAUCACAUGCAGGUGGCAUAAACUAAAUAUUCAGACCUGUUACCAACAAGUGAUUCAUUAACAAAAGCAAUGGAGCAGACUGUUUAGGUUCUUGUGGUUGUAAUAACAUCCAUAACUGCAAGUUUGUCAUUAAUUUAUUUUCACAGGUCUAGAUGAUCACAUCUGUCUUUGUCAUUUAAAUGAGGUGGACUUGCAAACUUUGCACUCUUUUGGGUAAAUUGCUGUCCACUACAUAUACACAGAAUGUGCACAGUAUUUCAGAUCUAAAAAGGGAGUAUGUAAUGGACUUGCUGGCUUUAAUGUAAAAAGCCUGUUGUGUAACUUUAAUGAGGCAGUUGGACUAAAACAGUAUUGCUCAUCAAGGUAAACAUCUGAGGAAUAAGGAAAUUGUUACUUGUCCUUUUACUCAGUGUUCUUUUAAUCGCACGUUUACUAAAGUUUUACAUCACAUAAGUCAUUUUCACAAUCAUUCUACUUUAAAAGAUUUCAAGACAGAGCUUAUUGUUCUCUGAACUUCCUUGUUUGCUGAACGGCAGGUAAAGUGCAUCUUUUUGUUUGUUUGCUUUUGUGCGUUUGUGUUUUCUCUAAUGGGCCUCAGAUGACUGUUUGCUUAAAUUUGGGUCUCAAAGAGUCUUUUUUUUUAAUCUGCCUGUACUCUCCACCCCUCUUCUUCUAUUGCUCAGGUUGAAGCAGAAUUUGCCCGUCUUACAUCUGUUGACCUGAAAGGGUUCCUUUUUGCUGUGCUUGACCAUUAUGGAGAGGUUCGUGGAGCUGUAGAAAAUCAAGAGCGGCAUAGGAGGGCUAACUAGGCUCAUAAAAUGCUUCGGAGAUGAUGUAAGUGUUCAACUGCGAAAUGUUCUCCUUUGUUUAAGUUUUAGGUUAUCCAGUUCAACUGAUGAACUCAUUGAAAGAAAGCUGAUAAGUAAAGUCUGUCAUCAUAUUUCACAACUGGACAUUUAGUGUGGUAACUUUUACAGAAUCUGUGUAUAUUGGUGGUAGGUUGGAUAUCAUAUUCUACUUGAAUGUCCUGAUAAGCCUGAUUCAAAAUCUCCAAUGAUAAUCAUAUAUUGAUGGAAUUAUGUAUCAAAAAGCU
rnacentral:lncRNA from 1 species